rnacentral:tRNA from 1 species
GAGGAUAUAGCUCAGUGGUAGAGUGCAUGCUUAGCAUGCAUGAGGCCCUGGGUUCAAUCCCCAGUACUUCCA